rnacentral:rRNA from 1 species
UACGAAGGGUGCAAGCGUUACUCGGAAUUACUGGGCGUAAAGCGUGCGUAGGUGGUUUGUUAAGUCUGUUGUGAAAGCCCCGGGCUCAACCUGGGAAUGGCAGUGGAAACUAGGGGACUUGAAUCUGGCAGAGGGGGGUGGAAUUCCACGUGUAGCAGUGAAAUGCGUAGAGAUGUGGAGGAACACCGAUGGCGAAGGCAGCCCCCUGGGCUGAGAUUGACGCUCAGGCACGAAAGCGUGGGGAGCAAACAGG